GGCAGACUGCGACCUACCAUCUGCAGUAUCAGACAGGAGCAAAGUUCAGAGUGGUUGAACUUUGCAUUCUGUUUGGUGCAGGUAAAAAACAAAACAAAGAAAAAAAAAGAGCAUGGUUACAUGUGCCUUAGCUUUUCUUUGACCUCUCUCAUUCACACACGCAUGCUGUGGAGCUCUGGUAAUGAAAAUCCCAGGAGGUCCUACAAUCUGAGUCAAAGAUUCACACCAGGCCAUCAUUAUGCACCAAAAACAGAGUCCUGCACACCUGAGACCAACAUCCUGGAGCAAGAAAAAGAGGUCACAACAGACCAUCAGCCACUACAUCUGGUGAAUGUAAACCUGAGGGAGAAAGCAAAGGCCAGAUCGGGUUGUUUGUCACCCCACUGACAAGGAGAGUGUUGGUAAGUGUCACACUCUACCAGGAAAGAAAAAAAAAGGGUAGAUAGCACACACCAAAAGUCUGAUCAACAAAAUAUAGAAGUGACUCUGUGCUUCUACAGACAUUUGCCUGGAGUGGAAGUAAAAAUGUCUGCAGGGCAUUGUUGAAAAACCGUUGUGACAGGCAUCUGCUGGAGUUCACUGACAACUUUUUUUGCCAGAUCGAGACCUGAAGUUAUUAUUAGCAAGGUAUUAAGAGAGGAAAAUGUUGAGGAAACUUAAAUCAUCCUUUAACAGAAUGAUGGGGAAAGACGAACAGAUAUGACGAUCAUGAAGGAUUUUGUUGAAACAUGCUACUCCCUCUGUAAACACUGGAUCAGGUGAUGCAUGAUUUCUGGUGGCUAGGUCACUUAUGUUUACUGUCGAUGUGAAAGAAGAGCUUUAAUUUCUGGUCAGAGUUAGUCAAAGGCAGUUAAAUGGAUGUGACGGUGACUCAGCUACAGCUGGACUGUAACACAAGCUAGGAGUUUUUUUUUUCUUUAAAGGCAAAUAAGUGGGAGACUUUAAGGUGUCUGAAUCAGUUACCUGAGGUCAGACUGGUGAAGCACUGAAACAGCUGCAGUAAAAUAUCAUAAAACAAUCUUCCAAAAUUCAGACAGCUGACGAGGAUUAAGUAUCAUUUUAUUUGCAAUAAUGUCAACAUUUGUUAAGUGUGACUCAAAGAGACCCAAACGUAGAAACAAGAGCUACAUGUAAAAAAGAAGAGGAGCUCUGUUCACAAAACUGAUGAGCUAAAUUCAACAAAGGAACAAAUAAAUAUACAAAAAGCAGACUAGGAUCAAGGGCAAAAUGCACACAGGCAAUCUGACAAAGACACAAAGUCUAUUAUGAAAGACCUUCCCUUGAUUUUAGCUGAUCCUCCUUCCUCUUAGUCAUUUCUAAGUUCAUUCCUGUAUGGCUGCUGUUUUACUCUCUUUAAGGCCUUGCUCACCACUGUAAUUACACCACAGCUCCAAACCUGCCCACACUGUGCACAGUGAGAUCAUCCCUCAGAGUGAGAGUGUCACAACAUAUUUCCAGUGUAGUUUCCUGGAGAAACUGAGGGAGAACAUUCAUGGUGCACACCAAAAUGCCACUGUGCAAACCCAGUUUAACGACCACUGUUUGGACACACUCGAGAGGAUCCAGCAAAGACUGCAGAUGCAAAAGUAAAACGCGGCUUAAUGAGAGUUCUGCGAGUCCUGUUUUUGAUCACAUUGCUGAGCCCUGAUAAAAUGAGACACAAAUGGAAAUAAUCUGCAGGACAAUGACAGGAAAUAAAACAGCAAAGCAUAAAAAAGGAAAUGCAGUUACCAUAAUCAACAGCGUGUCACUACAAUGAGAAACCAAAAAGAGAAACCAGAGGCAGGAAAAGACAAGGACAGUGAGGAGAUGCAGGGAAAAGGUGAGUACAAAGAAACACAAAGAAGCUCAAAAAGAGCACAACACCAUAACAAUCUGUAUAUUUCAGUUGCUCCCAGCUGCAAAUACUACACUUGGAAUCAACUCCAAACCUUUAACCGCUAUCAUUUAGGAAGAAUAAUAAAAGAACACACAAUAUCUGUUAAUGAAAAAGCAUUUUGUCGAGUUGUCCAUUAAAUCUGAUCUUUUGUUUGUUUUUUCAAUGCAAUUUAUUUUCCUUGGCCCCAGAAUUAAAGCUGAGAGUCUACACUUCAAUUGCAUUUUGGGUUGCCCAUUGUGUCAUUUACCAGAUGUUAGACUUGACAGCUGUUUAUUCUACAGAAUAUCCUUUGCUUCUCAUUAAAAAUGUAAAAACAAAGGAAAAGAGAAAAGAACAGAAAAGAAGACACUAACAGCACUCGCUCAGCUUUCCCAUAAUCUUUUUAGUGCCACAGUUUUGGAGGAAGUACUCAGAUCCCGAAAUACUGCAUUAACAGGUUAUAUGAGUCAUGUGGUAAUGUGGUUUAACUAUGAUAGACAGUCAAACACCUAAUAUCACACAAACGCUAUCAGCUCCCACCGAUAAUUUACUCAAACCUAGAAUCUGUUAAAAAAAAGUAGACUAAAGCUGUGAACGAAUAUUUACAAUUUGAUUUGUAAUAGAAUAAUAAUAAUAAAAAAGUUCACAUUCAUACAUUGUGAGAGUUAAUAUUUGAUGCAACAAAGUAGUCGUUGCAGUAGUCGUGUCCUGAGCGGCACAUAAUGUAUAGCUCCUAAUUGAGCACCAGCAGUACUGAUGUGCUCAAAGUCGGAACAGCUGUGAGGCAUUGGUGCAGGUCUCUGUACCUCAGACAUCACAUACACUGCUGCUGGUGAAAGCAGAGAGAUGAAUGAUUUAUGACACUGUUAAUGUUCGCACAUCCAUGAGUAAUCGAGGGUCUGCUUGAUUCUGAGUGACUUAAAUUUCUCAGGCGUUCGUGUUCCCUCGGUUUUAUUUUUUUGACACUGAAAUAAAUUUACAACUAAACAUGUAUCAUCCAGUUUUACCUUAUAAUAAAAACAAACACUGUGCUGUUUGCUGCUGUCCUCAGAUGCAAAUGAAUCCUCAGUUUCAGGCUAAACCUUAGGCGGAGACAGAUAACCUGAUUAUCAGUGUGAAGUCAUUCGACACGGGUCCCUGUUUUCUUUUAUAUGUGUAAAAUAUUCAAUGAUAAUACUAGGCUAAUAACAAACAUUACAAUCUGUGCUCCCACAUGCACAUAACAUUCACAUAGACUCUGUUUAGUUUCUCAUAAAUUAAGCAAAUGUUUUAUCUGCUUAAUUUGUCAUGGAGUGCUUUGGGAACAGGCCUCACCUAACCGUGGAAGUGAAACUAUCCCAUUACUUUUAAGCCUGAAAAUUGGGGACUGUGUAUAAAAAUGGAUGUAAUUCCUAACAGUCAAUGCAAUACUUUAACUAAAACCCUUGCUUCUUGAUUGUUUCAUUUAAAAUCCACUGUGGUGGUAUACAGAAGCAAAAUGACCAGAAUGAAUAAGAAUGAAUAAAUUAUGGACCUACUGAAUAAUGCAGUUAUUCUAAACUGAAAAAAACCUUUUUAAAUCGGAUUGAACAAAACUAUCAUCAUACAUCACAAUGACACAUAAUUUAUUUUAUUUUACUUCAUUAAAUCAUUAUAAAAUGCAGGUUCACACAGAGUCAAACAGAGAAUAAGCAUUGUUUAUAUAUAAUAGCGCAUAACACAUUUAUAAUUUAAUCUGUAUUUAGGCAAUAGAGGAGACUUUUCGAGCCUUAUGCCACAUGUAGAGACAUCUACCUAUCAUUUGCAAGUUGUUUCUGUGGUAACAAAAUGCAAAUUAAUUGACUAAACACAAACUGGGUCAGGCUUACAUUUAAAUGAAAUGAUACUAGAGUAAUCAAAGUAGAGAAUUUUCAACAUUUGUUCGCCACGAGACAACAAAUACGACCAAGUUAUUAGAUUUCCUCAGUGUAAGAUGAGACAUUUAGAGCUCUACAUUAGAAUUUAACCUGUAACGCUCGUGGACAGCUGGACUCGCAAACACACAUCCUUCACGCCACAGCUUUCUGUUUAUUAUGCAACACUAAUCUGAUGCCUGUGCUCAAUAGCAGCCUUUGUGUUUCAGAGCUGCUCCUGAGAUAAGCAUGUCCAUGGAAAUCCGUGGACUGCAAACAGUGCAGUACCAUCAACAAAAUUAAGGAAGUAACUGGUAAUGCUCACUAUGGACAAAGGUAACAUUUAAACUACUAGGACAGGAAUGAAAGUGUGUUGUGAAAAUAAUUACAUAGACAGGGGUAUUAAUGACCCUGGAUAAUUAUAUGUCUACCUCAGCCUUUCCUAUUAUAAUAUUACUGUAUCAGUAUGUAUGUAUAAUGCUGAAAUAACAUAGAAACCAAGUGUUAAAUAAUAGUGAAACAUUAGAACAUUGUUUCACAUCUAAUCCUUGAUUAAAUAGUGACAUUUCAUCUGAUACCAGUGCUUUGCAUUUGAAGAUAUUCAUGAGUUUUUCUCAGUUUUACAAACAACACAGAAGUUUUGCUCCAUUUUUCAUAUGCCAUAAAAAUGUAGGCACAAAGACUCAAUGAAUAGUUUUUGGCCUGAAACAAAUAUAGCACGCAUUGCCCUCUAGUGGCCUGAGAUCACGCUGGAUUUCAUUUCAUUAGUACUUGAGCACAUUUAUCUGCAUGUAUAUCAGUGGUGACCAGGUAUUUAUUAUAUUUUCUCCUGUUGUGAUAUAUUGCACAGUUUCCCUUCUUUACAUCUCUAAGAAAACAGCAAAGAAGAAAAAGUCUCAGAAGUACAACACACUGGUUUCGAGAGAUUCAACUAUUUUUGACACCUAUUAUUUCAUUCUUCAGCACCCACUGCAACACUGACAAGAGGUAUGCAGCAGAAAUAAUGCUGCGCCAUUUUUAGUCUUUUAAGUAAAUAAAGCUCAGUAUACAAAGUGGUCGCAGCACAUUUCCUACGUGCUUGAUGAUAAAUGGUAAAGAGUUAUGAAUGCUGUAAGGCUCUACUUCAUUGAUGUCCUUUUAUGUACAAUAUGAGAGCUUGUUUCAUCACCCGUAAAGUGUACAUUUGACCAUGAAACGAUGCGACGAAAACAAAACAAGCCUGCAGGGUGCUCUGGUUCGCAGUAAUGUGUUGGUCGUGACCGAAACGGAUCUUAGAACCGAGUCUUUGAAGUGAACGACUCGAUCCGACUCCUUGUUGGGAGCUGCAGUUUUUUUUCUUUCUUUCUCCCUCUCUCUCUCUCGCUCUCUCGCACUUUUUUCUGCUUCACUCCACACGUGAGCCUUGUGCUUGCAUUGAGCAGAGGGGGGAGGGGCGGUAGUUACACUCAUAGCACAGGAACAGAGCGGGAGGGAAAGAGAGGCAGGGACAACAACAAGAGACAACAUCAUCACAUUAGAAAGGUAAAGUAAUCAUCCACAACUAUUUUCAUUUGCGGAUGAUAAAGGAUUCAGAAAGUUCAUUCAUGCAGUGAAUCCUAUGUAUGCAAUUCCAAGCAGGAAAACACUCUCCCAAAAAAUCAUCCCAGGCUUAUAUGACAGAGAAUGUUCAUCUUCUUUUUGCUUCGCAUAUUUUAAUUCAUAUUUUAUUGUGUUGUGGUUUGCAGUCUUUUGUGUUGUUUCACUUUAAAUUUGGUUAAAAUGAAAAAGCAGAAAAUUUAAAUAGUUAAAAGUUGAAAUGUAAUGAGUUGGAUUUUGAGCUUUUUUUGAGCUUUUGUCACCUAGUGGCUACACAAGCCAGGAAGUACCAAUGACCGGAUUUGGUGUGUGGUAGUAACAGGUAAAUGAAGAUUUUUAAACAAUUAUUUGGAUAUAUAUAU
ensembl:lncRNA